UACGGAGGGUGCAAGCGUUAUCCGGAUUCACUGGGUUUAAAGGGUGCGUAGGUGGGCAGGUAAGUCAGUGGUGAAAUCUCCGGGCUUAACCCGGAAACUGCCGUUGAUACUAUCUGUCUUGAAUAUAGUGGAGGUGAGCGGAAUAUGUCAUGUAGCGGUGAAAUGCUUAGAUAUGGCAUAGAACACCCAUUGCGAAGGCAGCUCGCUACACUAUCAUCGACACUGAGGCACGAAAGCGUGGGGAUCAAACAGG
rnacentral:rRNA from 1 species